rnacentral:rRNA from 1 species
UUGGAGGGCAAGUCUGGUGCCAGCAGCCGCGGUAAUUCCAGCUCCAAUAGCGUAUAUUAAAGUUGUUGCAGUUAAAAAGCUCGUAGUUGAAUUUCGGGGUUCAUACGUUGGUCGGGCUUUCGGGUCUGCACUAGCGUAAUGAAUUCCUACCUUCUGAAUAACCAGCAUGUCAUUAAUUUGAUGCGCCGGGGAAGCAGGACUGUUACCUUGAAAAAAUUAGAGUGCUUAAAGCAGGCUAUUGCCUGAAUACAUUAGCAUGGAAUAAUGAAAUAGGACGGCAUGGUUCUAUUUUGUUGGUUUCUAGGAUCACCGUAAUGAUUAAUAGGGAUAGUUGGGGGCAUUAGUAUUCAAUUGUCAGAGGUGAAAUUCUUGGAUUUAUUGAAGACUAACUUCUGCGAAAGCAUUUGCCAAGGAUGUUUUCAUUAAUCAAGAACGAAAGUUAGGGGAUCGAGGACGAUCAGAUACCGUCGUAGUCUUAACCAUAAACUAUGCCGACUAGGGAUCGGACGAUGUUAAUUUUUUAAUGACUCGUUCGGCGCCUUACGGGAAAC